rnacentral:rRNA from 1 species
GACGAACGCUGGCGGCGUGCCUAAUACAUGCAAGUCGAACGCAGUUGGGACGGGGGAGUAACCCGUGGGUAACCUCCCAUCAGAGGGGAUAACACUUGGAAACAGGUGCUAAACCGAUACUGAUGGAUGGACCCGCGGUGCAUUAGCUAGUUGGUGAGGUAACGGCUCACCAAGGCCACGAUGCAUAGCCAACCUGAGAGGUUGAUCGGCCCAACUGGGACUGUGACACGGCCCAGACGCGUACGGGAGGCAGCAGUAGGGAAUCUUGGGCAAAGGACGAAAGUCUGACCGAGCAACGCCGCGUGAGGGAAGAAGUUUUUCGGAUCGUAAAACUCUGUUGUUAGAGAAGCGGUAGCUAACCAGAAAGCCCCGGCUAACUACGUGCCAGCAGCCGCGGUAAUAC